AACGAACGCUGGCGGCAGGCUUAACACAUGCAAGUCGAACGCAUCCUUCGGGGUGAGUGGCAGACGGGUGAGUAACGCGUGGGAACGUGCCCUUCAGUUCGGGAUAACCCAGGGAAACUUGGGCUAAUACCGGAUACGUGCGAGAGCAGAAAGAUUUAUCGCUGAAGGAUCGGCCCGCGUCUGAUUAGCUAGUUGGUGGGGUAAUGGCCCACCAAGGCGACGAUCAGUAGCUGGUCUGAGAGGAUGCUCAGCCACAUUGGGACUGAGACACGGCCCAAACUCUUACGGGAGGCAGCCGUGGGGAAUAUUUGACAAUGGUCGCAAGCCGGAUCCAGCCACGCCGCGUGAGUGAUGAAGGCCUUAGGGUUGUAAAGCUCUUUCGUCCGGGACGAUAAUGACGGUACCGGAAGAAGAAGCCCCGGCUAACUUCGUGCCAGCCGCCGCCGUAAGAC
rnacentral:rRNA from 1 species